rnacentral:rRNA from 1 species
AUUGAACGCUGGUGGCAGGCUUAACACAUGCAAGUCGAGCGAGCGGAGGACGGGUGAGUAAUGUAUGGGAAAAUGCCUGAUGGAGGGGGAUAACUCCUGGAAACGGUAGCUAAUACCGCAUACCAUCAGAUGUGCCCCGAUGUGAUUAGCUAGUAGGUGGGGUAAUGGCUCACCUAGGCGACGAUCCCUAGCUGGUCUGAGCGGAUGACCAGCCACACUGGAACUGAGCCACGGUCCAGACUCCUACGUGACGCAGCAGUGGGGAAUAUUGCACAAUGGGCGCAAGCCUGAUUCAGCCAUGCCGCGUGUAUGAAGAAGGCCUUCGGGUUGUAAAGUACUUUCAGCGGGGAGGCGUUACCCGCAGAAGAAGCACCGGCUAACUCCGUGCCAGCCGCCGCGGUAAUUC